rnacentral:rRNA from 1 species
GACGAACGCUGGCGGCGUGCCUAAUACAUGCAAGUUGAGCGCUGAAGGUUGGUACUUGUACCAACUGGAUGAGCAGCGAACGGGUGAGUAACGCGUGGGGAAUCUGCCUUUGAGCGGGGGACAACAUUUGGAAACGAAUGCUAAUACCGCAUAAAAACUUUAAACACAAGUUUUAAGUUUGAAAGAUGCAAUUGCAUCACUCAAAGAUGAUCCCGCGUUGUAUUAGCUAGUUGGUGAGGUAAAGGCUCACCAAGGCGAUGAUACAUAGCCGACCUGAGAGGGUGAUCGGCCACAUUUGGACUGAGACACGGCCCAAACUCCUACGGGAGGCAGCAGUAGGGAAUCUUCGGCAAUGGACGAAAGUCUGACCGAGCAACGCCGCGUGAGUGAAGAAGGUGUUCGGAUCGUAAAACUCUGUUGGUAGAGAAGAACGUUGGUGAGAGUGGAAAGCUCAUCAAGUGACGGUAACUACCCAGAAAGGGACGGCUAACUACGUG